CCUACGGGUGGCAGCAGUGGGGGAUAUUGCACAAUGGGGGAAACCCUGAUGCAGCGACGCCGCGUGAGUGAUGGAGUAUUUCGGUAUGUAAAGCUCUAUCAGCAGGGAAGAUAAUGACGGUACCUGACUAAGAAGCUCCGGCUAAAUAAGUGCCCGCCGCCGCGGUAAGACGUAUGGGGCAAGCGUUAUCCGGAUUUACUUGGUGUAAAGGGAGCGGAGACGGCAGGGCAAGGCUGAUGUGAAAGUCCGGGGCUCAACCCCGGGACUGCAUUGGAAACUGUCCGGCUAGAGUGCAGGAGAGGUAAGUGGAAUUCCUGGUGUAGCGGUGAAAUGCGUAGAUAUUAGGAGGAACACCAGCGGCGAAGGCGGCUUACUGGACUGUAACUGACGUUGAGGCUCGAAAGCGUGGGGAGCAAACAGGAUUAGAUACCCCUGUAGUC
rnacentral:rRNA from 1 species